UACGUAGGGGGCGAGCGUUAUCCGGAUUCAUUGGGCGUAAAGCGCGCGUAGGCGGCCGCCUAAGCGGAACCUCUAACCCCGGGGCUCAACCUCGGGCCGGGUUCCGGACUGGGCGGCUCGAGUGCGGUAGAGGAGAGCGGAAUUCCCGGUGUAGCGGUGGAAUGCGCAGAUAUCGGGAAGAACACCGAUGGCGAAGGCAGCUCUCUGGGCCGUCACUGACGCUGAGGCGCGAAAGCUGGGGGAGCGAACGGG
rnacentral:rRNA from 1 species